ensembl:lncRNA
UCAUCAUUUAAUGAAUGAAACGUCCAUUUGUUGUUAUUUACUGUAACAGUAACUGUAACAGUAACUACGUUAGCUAGCUAGCAAGAUCUGAUCGGCUCCCGCCGUAAACCCCGCCCUUUCUACAAAUCGGCAAAUGAGAAGAGCUUUGGGCCCCCUAAACUUCUGGCCCCACAGCCGAAACAGAAGUGGGCGCUGCGCUUGCUCGCGCAACAGCUCCACAGUUUUCUACACUGCAGCAGACAGGGCCAUCUCGGCUGGGCCCCACCGAGCGGAACAGACGAGACGGAGCAACGAACUAUUUCACACACAACUACUACGCUACAAAAAAAGGGGUCACUGGAAAAAGGCCUGUGCGGUGCUCCAGGCUCGUGGCAGGCACCUUGGUACACAGGAGAGACCAGUAGCAUGUGCUCAUCGGAUUUCAGGCAAGGCAAAGGCGGACCAUCCAAAGGGCCCGGUACCAGGUAGAAUGCCAGACCAGGAAGGGGGUGAGUUGCCAGAUGCAAUCGCAGCUGAUCCUGCUUUGCAGCCCUACUUGCCUUUCAUGUCUAAUGAAUUUCGUUGUACUUGUACAAUGACAAUAAAGCUUUCUAUUCUAUUCUAUUCUAUGGGCAUGUCUCUU